rnacentral:rRNA from 1 species
AACGAACGCUGGCGGCGUGGAUUAGGCAUGCAAGUCGAACGCGAAAGGGAGCUUCGGUUCCUGAGUAGAGUGGCAAACGGGUGAGUAACACGUGAAGAACCUGCCUGGAAGUGGGGGACAACACUCCUAACGGGGUGCUAAUACCGCAUGUGCAUGAAUUACCGCAUGGUUUUAUAUGUAAAGGUGGCCUCUACUUGUAAGCUACCGCUUCCAGAUGGCUUUGCGUCCCAUUAGCUUGUUGGUGGGGUAAUGGCCUACCAAGGCGACGAUGGGUAGCUGGUCUGAGAGGAUGGUCAGCCACACUGGGACUGAGAUACGGCCCAG